rnacentral:rRNA from 1 species
GAUGAACGCUAGCUACAGGCUUAACACAUGCAAGUCGAGGGGAAACGGCAUCGAAAGCUUGCUUUUGAUGGGCGUCGACCGGCGCACGGGUGAGUAACGCGUAUCCAACCUGCCCAUCACUUGGGAAUAACCUUGCGAAAGUAAGACUAAUGCCCAAUGACAUCCCACGAAGGCAUCCGAAUGGGAUUAAAGAUUUAUCGGUGAUGGAUGGGGAUGCGUCUGAUUAGCUUGUUGGCGGGGUGACGGCCCACCAAGGCAACGAUCAGUAGGGGUUCUGAGAGGAAGGUCCCCCACAUUGGAACUGAGACACGGUCCAAACUCCUACGGGAGGGAGCAGUGAGGAAUAUUGGUCAAUGGGCGAGAGCCUGAACCAGCCAAGUAGCGUGCAGGAUGACGGCCCUAUGGGUUGUAAACUGCUUUUAGAAGGGAAUAAAGUGGGUCACGUGUGACUUUUUGCAUGUACCUGAUGAAUAAGGACCGGCUAAUUCCGUG